GGCACCAAGGGCCACUCCGUGUUAAAGCGAAGGACACACAGCAUGCCGGUGAGACGGCAACAACCCGUCUUUGUCCCCAGGGCCAGCUACGCAUACAAGCCCUCACGCCAUGACUACGGCAUCGAUGACAGCAUCAACAGAGUCGAAUACUUUUCGAAUGCCGUCCUGGAGGACAAUUACGAUGCCGCGGCCAAGUCCAGAGGGAGGGAUUAUGAGCUGCUGAGAAACGCCAACGCGGCCAUCCGUCCGUCCAGCCGAUCACCGUCUCGCUCGGGUGAAACUCGGACUGGCCGUCAAUCCAAACGCUUCCGGUCACUCCCACCGGUAGAAGUGCGGUCUCCCUCGCCUCCCCGGGCCGUGGUGCCCUACAGAAAGCAGGAGAAGCUGCUUCGGUCCAACUUGCCGUUAGCUCCGUCGCCCAAUUCUCUCCUGUCUAGCCGGAUCAACACUUACCUGAGGGGUUCCUCCAUGCCCCCAGCGGCCCCGCUCUCCGGCAACACCCGCGCUUCUUCAAUCUCGUACAAAUCUUUCCUCAAGGAUCCGCCCACAGCGUCAGGUUCGAACGACAUGCGGUCCACCGUGUCCUAUAGGUCCUAUCUCUCCGAUCCGUCCGUGCUCAGCCCUUUGUCCACAAGGAGCAGCUCCAAAGUCUACCGAGGUUACGUCCCCUCUAGCCUUACAUACUCUCAGAAGUACCCGUCGUCUUACCGAACCCGCUAUGAUGACGACGACGAUAAUGAUUACGUCGAUGACGAUGGAGAGGAAUACGAGCCUGGAUCUUACAGAAGGAAGUACAAGAUCUUGAGAGGACCGGCUGCUCUAACCUAUUCGAAGCAUGGCGCUGAGGAUGAAGACGAAGAAGACGAGCCUUACUAUGAGACAGCAAGCGAGUAUGGUACGUAUUCUUCUCCGAGACCCUCUGGUGUGUCUGCCCUCAAGUUGAGCUCCUACGACGCCCCAUAUGACGGCUCGUAUGAUGCUGAUAUGGCUGAAAUGUACGACUACGUUCCCUUUGGCCCCUCCCGACAGGGAAUCCUCGAGUUGACGUCGGACGACACACCCAGCAUCCGCCCCCUUCCUUCCUUAACCACGCCCUCUGUAACUCACAGAUCCUCGCCCUACCCUGAAGAUCCCCUUCCCAGUGUGUCCCUUGUCCCAUCCUACACUAAGAACCUGGAUGACUCCCUAACAAAGCCAUCUUACGCCGACAACUCCAUGAUAGAUUCGAUUGUUUCCAGUACUGCGGCACGUGCAAAGGCAGUCAUGGCCGAGUCAAAUCUCCCAUCCUACAAAAACGCCAGCUUGGUUUUAAGUGUUGAAGGAAGCGCAGUCUCUCCAGAUGGGAAGAAUAGGUAUGGUUUCCGCUACUACCCCCCACCCAUCCCCUUAAAGGGUUCCACCAUAGGCUUAGAUGAGAGAAUUCUGGGCAUAACCCCCAAGCCAACCACCCCGGCGGAUUCUUUUCUGGGCAAGUACCUGGACCGCCUGCGCGAUGUGCGCUCAGACAUUAGGGACCAUGUAGACAAGGGCGACUAUCGGCCAGCCAGCCGCAGUAGUAGCGUCGUCCCCAGUCGAAGCCCCUCCUCAUAUGUUCACCGCACCAUUCACAUGCCGCUUAACAUCGCAGGCCGAGAAAACAGCGUGCCCGUCUCCUCCUACCGGUCGCGUUUGGACGACGGCCAGUCUCACAGAGUGGAUGUGUACCCACUGGUGGUGAGUGAGACCAGCGUGCCCGCUGGCCGAAGCUUCCACCUGCCCGUCUACCAGGCCCGAGGCAGCGGUCGCGGCGGAGGCGGAGACACCCCCAACAGGCUUACCGUGCUAGAGAAAAUUAAUAUCAAGGCCGCCAUUAUCGGAAGCCGAAUGGAGGCUGGGGAUGGAGCCAAGAAGGUCAAGCGACCCCGAUCGCAGUUUGCGGCCGACAAGCUGCGCGAGUUUAAGAUUCAGGACAUCGAGGAGGGGGUUUACUAUCGUCCAGCCAAUGCAUCUGGUUCCCUCCGUGCAUCUCGACCCCCAUUGCCAAAACAAUCGGACAGAAAGGCAAUCAGAGACGUAGACGGUUUCACAAAACCUAGGAACGUCUAUUCCUGGCAGUACCGCGUGGAGUCCCGGCUCAGCCCUGACGAUCUUAUCUACCAGCCCUCUAGUUAUAUCCGACUCAGAGAACAGGUGCGGGACGUGCAAGAAAAGAUGGACCGCCAACGUCAACUGCUUGAUCGCUACCUUGACACUGAUAAUAUGUCAACAAGCACCUAUCGCAAGCCGGUGGAGAUCCUGAUAACAGACCCGUGUCAGACCUUCGUCGUAAACUAAGAAGGACGAUCGCCAAGGCGAAGAACAACCCGGACUACUACCGAGAGUAGCUCGUCAAGGGAAUUUACUCCAUGGCCACAGACACGGGAGGAGACGCUACAAGUAAGGCGUAAGAGGCUCUGGGCUCCAGCUUGAUACACCUGACAGUUCUCGCCGGCACAUCUGCUUGAUUCGCCCCUGUGUGUGUGUACGCGUGUGUCUGCUUCGGCUUUCUACCUACACAGUCGCCAACAGUUACAUGGUGGGGUUUUUUUUGGCUCGGACAUUGAACGGAAUGCCAACACGCCAGUGGAAUCUGGGGUCUCGAUCGAAAUUUUCAAUUGGGCGAAGCCGUUCAUCUUUUGUUUUGUGACCACUCGUACGAGCUUGACUGUUGGUGACGUAAAUGCACAAGGUCAUUGGUAUUUUUGCCCCAGAUAUAUAUGAUCCAUAAUCCAAUGCGUGGAUGCAUGCAAGAUGGCGAGGAAUAUUCAUUACUCUAACACAUUUUGAGGCCCAAGAGAAUCUUAGAGAGGAAAGAUGGAUUGCCAUGUUAUAGCUUGUUGGAAUAUGGCAUUAAAGUAUAGUCUUGCAUUUUGCUUUGACAAGAACUGUCAAGCUGUGUUUUUAUCAUUAUAUACGUUGAGAGUUGUUUUUGGGGUUUAAAAGAAAUAUAUAUGUACACUGUAUAUGAUACUGUUCUUCCCACAAAGUACCACUACACCUUUGUCCUGUUUGUUCUUUUUAACUUUUCGAUUCAUUUACAGUCUUUGAGACUCUCUUUCUGUUAUUUCGGCUAUUUGCCUUUACAUUUUAAAUUAAAACUCAAAGUGAUUCCUACCUCUCUGAGCUCCGUUUCAUGACAAAAUAUAUGGUAAUCUCACUCUUCUAUGAUUGAUGUUUGAGUUUCUGAUGAAGUUAUUUAAUUUGUCAUUUCGCAGUCUGCCCAGUGUAUAUGCGCAAACCACUUCUUUGUCCUUGUCAUCAAGUGUACAAAGGGGUGUUUGUUUCCUAAUGACAAUGAUAAGAUUCAAGGAAUAAACACAAUCACAUAUCGUCUACUUGCGAACUUCCUCCUGUGUUUGCGGCCUUAGUGUAUAGUUAUUUUAAUUUAAGAUAUUCAUUUGUUAAAUAAAUGUACAUAACACUCAUUACGAAACUACUAAGGCUGUGAAAGAGACUUGUGGCGUUUAUUUUUUUUCUUUCUUAUUUUAGAUAUAUUUUUAGGAUAAUCCUGUACUUUUUUUUUACUUCUGUUCCUUACCCAAACCAGCUUAUAAAUUCCUGAAAGAUAAGAAAUGAUACAUGAUGACCAUUACUUUAUCUGUUCAGUGUCGCUGUUCAUGCAUGUUUGAAUUAUUUGGAAGCAAUUGAAGACAAGAGAAAAUAGAAAAAUGUAUGCUUUAACCUCAUGCUGCCCGUACAUGUUUGAAUUUAAAGUAUUAUAAGAAAAAUUAUUACUGAUAUUUUUGAAUUUGUCAUAUUAUCAUCAAUAUUAUUUUUAUUUAUUUAGAGCAUCGAAUUCUAGUUUAAACUUAUUUGUUUAUUUUCUGUACAUCCGUCCAUUUUGGUGUUUACAUGCAGUGUGUCUGUCAUUAUUUGCUUUAAAUGAAAUCAUCAUAAAAAACUCUGUACAUUUUGUUCAUAAAAACGACAGAGAUGUAAAGAAUUAGUUGCUUUGUUGGUUUGGAGUUGGGUGCUAUAUUUUUUUCUUCUUCUUUCAUCUAAAUAAAAUAAUACUCUAGCCUCGCUUUCAUUUUAUUGUGAAGUCAGCGAUAAGAUGACGACAAUAUUUGGUAGCGUCCCAUUUAAUUAUUUUUUUCUGUCCACUCUGAAGCCGUUCCGCGUACUCUGAGUUUAUACACUAGGAAAAUAAAAAAAUUGCACCAUCUGCAACAAAGAA
rnacentral:misc_RNA from 1 species